AUGGGUCGUGUGAUGAUUUUGCAUAGUUCACAUGAGUUUAUCUGUGAUUAAACAUCAUUUCAGUCUUUCGCUCCUAUCUGAUGACCCAU